rnacentral:piRNA from 1 species
AUGAAAUGUACUCAAGACUUGCUUCUGGUGA